rnacentral:rRNA from 1 species
UUAAGCGUACAUACCACGUGGAAUACACCUGUUCCGAUCCGAUCAUCAAAGUUAAGCAACGUCGGUCAAUACUUGGAUGGGUGGUGAUCGCUAGGGAACACCGCGUGACGUUUGUU